AUUGAACGCUGGCGGCAGGCCUAACACAUGCAAGUCGAGCGGAUGAAGGGAGCUUGCUCCUGGAUUCAGCGGCGGACGGGUGAGUAAUGCCUAGGAAUCUGCCUGGUAGUGGGGGAUAACGUCCGGAAACGGGCGCUAAUACCGCAUACGUCCUGAGGGUGAAAGUGGGGGAUCUUCGGACCUCACGCUAUCAGCUGAGCCUAGGUCGGAUUAGCUAGUUGGUGGGGUAAAGGCCUACCAAGGCGACGAUCCGUAACUGGUCUGAGAGGAUGAUCAGUCACACUGGAACUGAGACACGGUCCAGACUCCUACGGGAGGCAGCAGUGGGGAAUAUUGGACAAUGGGCGAAAGCCUGAUCCAGCCAUGCCGCGUGUGUGAAGAAGGUCUUCGGAUUGUAAAGCACUUUAAGUUGGGAGGAAGGGCAGUAAGUUAAUACCUGGCUGUUUUGACGUUACCAACAGAAUAAGCACCGGCUAACUUCGUG
rnacentral:rRNA from 1 species